rnacentral:lncRNA from 1 species
CAUUAUAUUAUUAGCUGAACCUUUUCUUUCUAUAUUUUCAACUGUUGAUUGAAAUUUUUACAUAUUGAUGUAAAAUAAUAAAAAAAAUUAUUUAAAAAUAGAUAAAAAUUAUUUCAUUCUAUUUUCAAAUAAAGAUCAAACAUUUAUGGUAGUCUUCAUGAUGAUGAAGAUUAGACUCCCAGGCUUUUGGAGAGCUGAGGCGCAUUAAGAUUGACCAUAAGAUGGUUCAAUCUUUGAUGCACCUAGGUUAGACCCAUAGAUCAUCCUGUGGUUCAGAUAAUUUUUUCAAAAGUUCAUAACUAUUUAUCUUCCUCUAUAUGCUCUUACUUGCAGGUAGUUAGGAAUUAAAAUUUAUAUAGCAUAUGAUGCAUGUAUAUGUUUAGGAUGUGCUUGAGAUCUAAAUCUCUCAUUCAAAUUAUAUUAAGUCAUAAGGAUGAAGUGUUAAGAAUACCACCCAUGCUUUCCUUCAUGCUUAGCCUGUAUUAUGUCAAGAACCAUGGUAGGCUUGUUGUGCUAUCCAC